GACGAACGCUGGCGGCGUGCCUAAUACAUGCAAGUAGAACGCUGAAGGAGGAGCUUGCUUCUCUGGAUGAGUUGCGAACGGGUGAGUAACGCGUAGGUAACCUGCCUGGUAGCGGGGGAUAACUAUUGGAAACGAUAGCUAAUACCGCAUAAUAGUAGAUGUUGCAUGACAUUUGCUUAAAAGGUGCAAUUGCAUCACUACCAGAUGGACCUGCGUUGUAUUAGCUAGUUGGUGAGGUAACGGCUCACCAAGGCAACGAUACAUAGCCGACCUGAGAGGGUGAUCGGCCACACUGGGACUGAGACACGGCCCAGACUCCGACGGGAGGCAGCAGUACGGAAUCGUCGGCAAUGGACGGAAGUCUGACCGAGCAACGCCGCGUGAGUGAAGAAGGUUUUCGGAUCGUAAAGCUCUGUGGUAAGAGAAGAACGAGUGUGAGAGUGGAAAGUUCACACUGUGACGGUAUCUUACCAGAAAGGCACGGCUAACUACGU
rnacentral:rRNA from 1 species